rnacentral:rRNA from 1 species
UCGGGAAUAUUGCGCAAUGGAGGAAACUCUGACGCAGUGACGCCGCGUAUAGGACGAAGGUCUUCGGAUUGUAAACUAUUGUCGUUAUGGAAGAGAAAGGACAGUACCUAAGGAGGAAGCUCCGGCUAACUACGUGCC